GUUUAUUGUGAUCACGGCAGUUGCACCUGAGGUUUCGACAGAUGCACACCGCCCAUUGUCUUGAAGUAUUUGGCGCAGCGAUACACAUCGAUGCGGUACCAUCCGUCUCCACAUGGUUUGGCUGGAUACAGAGUUUUGCAGUUGUGACGAAUCCUCUGUUUGAGAUCUGUGGAGUCAGGAAGUUAAAGGCUUCUCUCUGCAGCUCUAGUCUGUGAGCCAAUCAGAAGAGAGGAGGCUCUGACAGGAAGUCCGAUCUGUUCUGCUGGCUCUUACCUGCCUGGAUGUGAACCAGAACCAGCAGCAGAACCACAGCUGUGACCACAGCAGACCUCAUGGCUCGGAGCUCACUGACGGUGUCGAUGCUCUGGAAUAUGAUCGUAAAGUUCAGCAGUGACACAGGAUGAAAACUCAUCAUCAGCACAACAAAGACCUGGUCCAAAACCAGAACCACAGGAUAUUUACAACAUGGUCCAUCAUGAGAGCAUCAGAGCUGAAAUCAUCAGCUGAUCAGUCAGAGAAAAUAUCAGAAACUUUCCUGAUUCAAGUAAAAACUGAAAGUCCAGCGUCUCAGAGGAGAAAGAUUUGGAUCUGAGGUCGUGACCUGGUUUGUUUUGACAUCAUCAAUGAAUCAAUGAAUCAAUAAAUCAACUAUUAAUAUUGGUUAAUCAGAUUAAUACUCGUGACCUGUGACAGUGACUUUGAUUAAACUCUUCUA